rnacentral:rRNA from 1 species
UACGAGUGCUCCAAGCGUUAUCCGGAAUCAUUGGGCGUAAAGGGUGCGUAGGUGGUUAUGUUAGUCUCGCGUCAAAUUCUUCGGCUUAACCGUGGAACUGCUUGGUAUACUGGCGGUCUUGAGCCACUUAGGGGCUACCGGAACAAAUGGUGGAGCGGUGAAAUGCGUAGAUAUCAUUUGGAACGCCAAUGGUGAAAACAGGUAGCUGGGAGUGUGCUGACACUGAGACACGAAAGCCAGGGGAGCAAACGGG